rnacentral:rRNA from 1 species
UGAGGAACAUGACCUUCGGCGGGGGAUAGCCGGCCCAACGGCCGGGUAAUACCGCGUACGACCACAUGGGGACAUCCCUGAGUGGUGAAAGCAGCAAUGCGCCGAUGGAGUGCCUCGCGGCCUAUCAGCUUGUUGGUGAGGUAAUGGCCCACCAAGGCGACGACGGGUAGCCGGCCUGAGAGGGUGACCGGCCACACUGGGACUGAGACACGGCCCAGACUCCUACGGGAGGNAG